ACGUAGGGGGCGAGCGUUAUUCGGAAUUACUGGGUGUAAAGGGUAUGUAGGCGGCCCUUCAAGUCGCGUGUCAAGUUCCGGGGCUCACCGCGGGGGGGGCGCGCGAUACUGACGGGCUUGAGGGCUGGAGAGGUGAGCGGAAUUCCCGGUGUAGUGGUAAAAUACGUAGAGAUCGGGAGGAACACCAGCGGCGCAGGCGGCUCACUAGACAGUUUCUGACGCUAAGAUACGAAAGCGUGGGGAGCAAACAG
rnacentral:rRNA from 1 species